rnacentral:tRNA from 1 species
AAUUCAGCUCAGCCGGUAGAGCGUUUGACUUUUAAUCCAACGGUCAAGGGUUCAAGUACCUUAUCGAGCU